GCUUCCGCCGGGGAGGUCCCCCAUGCGCAGUCAUGAGUCGCUUCAAGUUUAUCGAUACUGGUAUCAACUUGACUGACCCUAUGUUCAGAGGAAUUUAUAGGGGGGUUCAAAAGCAUCAAGAUGACUUACAGGAUGUAAUAGGGAGAGCUGUCGAGAUUGGUGUUAAAAAGGUAACAUCCAUUUUGUUAUUCUUGAGAUUUUUAAAAUUCAUUUUUUAACUAAAUUUUAGUUAAAAUUUUGCAGAAUAGAAAGGAACAAACCAAUGCCACAGUUGGGGUACAUAUUGUCUACUUGUGAUAUUAGAAAGUUAAUUGAAACAAAAUAUCAAAAUACUCUGUUCAUAGCAAUUUAAGUUACACAAAUCUCAUGUAUAGUUUUUAUAUAUGAUAAAUGGCAAAACCUCUUUGAAAAAAAAUUUUUUAAACCUAUGUGAAUUACCAGGCUUAAGAGGCAACUUUUAAUCAAUUUUAUAAUAUAAUUUAGCAUUUGUCAGAAUUAAGCAAUAUCAAAAAUACAUGUACCUGACACCAAGUGUAGCUAUUUAUAGUUUGGGCAUACCAUUUAAAUAACGGAGUAAUACUUUCAUUUUUACAGUGAUAAAAUGUCUAUGGCUUUUUAGAGAGUUCUACUAAGCAAAUGAAUAGAUAUUUCUUUAAAUUAGCUUUAAAACAGAGAGCUAGCCC
rnacentral:sRNA from 1 species